rnacentral:rRNA from 1 species
AGUACGGCGAGUGAAGCGGCAAAAGCUCAAAUUUGAAAUCUGGCACCUUCGGUGUCCGAGUUGUAAUUUGAAGAAGGUAACUUUGGAGUUGGCUCUUGUCUAUGUUCCUUGGAACAGGACGUCACAGAGGGUGAGAAUCCCGUGCGAUGAGAUGCCCAAUUCUAUGUAAAGUGCUUUCGAAGAGUCGAGUUGUUUGGGAAUGCAGCUCUAAGUGGGUGGUAAAUUCCAUCUAAAGCUAAAUAUUGGCGAGAGACCGAUAGCGAACAAGUACAGUGAUGGAAAGAUGAAAAGAACUUUGAAAAGAGAGUGAAAAAGUACGUGAAAUUGUUGAAAGGGAAGGGCUUGAGAUCAGACUUGGUAUUUUGCGAUCCUUUCCUUCUUGGUUGGGUUCCUCGCAGCUUACUGGGCCAGCAUCGGUUUGGAUGGUAGGAUAAUGACUAAGGAAUGUGGCUCUACUUCGGUGGAGUGUUAUAGCCUUGGUUGAUACUGCCUGUCUAGACCGAGGACUGCGUCUUUUGACUAGGAUGUUGGCAUAAUGAUCUUAAGCCACCCGUCUUG